rnacentral:tRNA from 1 species
GAGGGAAUAGCUCAGUGGUAGACAGCAUGCUUACCAUAUAUGAGGUUCUGGGUUCAAUCCCCAGUACCUCCA